UACGGAGGGUGCGAGCGUUAAUCGGAAUUACUGGGCGUAAAGGGUGCGUAGGUGGUUGAAUAAGUUAGCUGUGAAAGGCCUGGGCUUAACCUGGGACGGAGAGCUAAGACUGUUGAACUGGAGUCUAGGAGAGGGUAGUGGAAUUUCCGGUGUAGCGGUGAAAUGCGUAGAGAUCGGAAGGAACAUCGGUGGCGAAGGCGGCUACCUGGCCUAAGACUGACACUGAGGCACGAAAGCGUGGGGAGCAAACAGG
rnacentral:rRNA from 1 species